rnacentral:sRNA from 1 species
UAUGCGUUUUUACGGCCGCGGUCUUGC